rnacentral:rRNA from 1 species
AUUGAACGCUGGCGGCAGGCCUAACACAUGCAAGUCGAACGGUAGCACAGAGAGCUUGCUCUCGGGUGACGAGUGGCGGACGGGUGAGUAACGUCUGGGAAACUGCCCGAUGGAGGGGGAUAACUACUGGAAACGGUAGCUAAUACCGCAUAACGUUGCAAGACCAAAGUGGGGGACCUUCGGGCCUCACACCAUCGGAUGUGCCCAGAUGGGAUUAGCUAGUAGGUGGGGUAAUGGCUCACCUAGGCGACGAUCCCUAGCUGGUCUGAGAGGAUGACCAGCCACACUGGAACUGAGACACGGUCCAGACUCCUACGGGAGGCAGCAGUGUGGAAUAUUGCACAAUGGGCGCAAGCCUGAUGCAGCCAUGCCGCGUGUAUGAAGAAGGCCUUCGGGUUGUAAAGUACUUUCAGCGGGGAGGAAGGCGGUGAAGUUAAUAGCUUCACCGAUUGACGUUACCCGCAGAAGAAGCACCGGCUAACUCCGUGCCAGCCGCCGCGGUAA